rnacentral:rRNA from 1 species
UACGUAGGUGGCAAGCGUUGUCCGGAUUUACUGGGCGUAAAGUGUAUGCAGGCGGGCCCUUAAGUAGGAAGUGAAAGGUUGGAGCUCAACUCUAACACUGCUCCCUAUACUGAGGGUCUUGAGUGCCGGAGAGGAAGAGGGAACGACACGUGUAGCGGUGAAAUGCGUUGAGAUGUGUCGGAACACCUAUGGCGAAAGCACUCUUCUGGACGGAAACUGACGCUGAGAUACGAAAGCCAAGGUAGCAAACAGG